GACGAACGCUGGCGGCGUGCCUAAUACAUGCAAGUAGAACGCACAGUUUAUACCGUAGCUUGCUACACCAUAGACUGUGAGUUGCGAACGGGUGAGUAACGCGUAGGUAACCUGCCUGGUAGCGGGGGAUAACUAUUGGUAACGAUAGCUAAUACCUCAUAAUAUUAAUUAUUGCAUGGUAAUUUAUUGAAAGGUGCAAUUGCACCACUACCAGAUGGACCUGCGUUGUAUUAGCUAGUAGGUGAGGUAACGGCUCACCUAGGCGACGAUAGGUAGCCGACCGGAGAGGGCGAUCCGCCACACUGGGACGGAGACACGGCCCAGACUCCCACGGGAGGCAGCAGUAGGGAAUCUUCGGCAAUGGGCGGAAGUCUGACCGAGCAACGCCGCGGGAGUGAAGAAGGUUUUCGGAUCGUAAAGCUCUGUUGUAAGAGAAGAACGGGUGUGCGAGUGGAAAGUUCACACUGUGACGGUAACUUACCAGAAAGGGACGGCUAACUACGUG
rnacentral:rRNA from 1 species